rnacentral:lncRNA from 1 species
ACGAUUCACAUGCAACAGUGAGUUUUUAUUCAGAUUUCAGAAGCAACCACUUACUAGUGAGCCUCUGUCUAGGUGUCUCGGCGGAGAGCUGCAUGGUUGUGCAUAGUCGACCAUUUCAAAGGUAACUGAUGACAUCAAGUGGUUGUUAAAAGAGUUACACUGCAAACUGUAGGUGUAGCAUGAUGGACGAUUCAGGUUUUUGGCACUACCUCAUGUAUUUUAUAUGUCAGGCCUGUCUUCGAUUCAAUACUAGAUAGCAAUGCAUCGCCUCCUCCACUAGCUCCUGCCAUCUCCUCUGCUGUGGCCAGUGGCCACACACGUUCCCGCCUGCGCAUCACCGUCGGCCCACUCCAUCAUCCUCCUUCACCACUUCUCUUAUCCUCCCUCUUUGUUAGUGUACACGUUACAUAGUUUGUUACCUGCAGCUACCUUGUGAAACCCCACCUCGCUCUUAGGAAUGCUUCUUUACACUUCUUAAUUCCUCCUCCCACCGCCCAUCAUGCCAGAUUGACCCGGGAUCACCGUGGCGACAACUCAGCAAAAUGAUGCAUGAUGUUUCUGCGGUGUUGAUCAAUACAUAAAUUCUUCCCUGCUGUAAACUUACUUAGAAAGGCUGGAGACUGAUAGUCCAGUUCAGUUCCAACCAGGAAGGUCAGGUCUGUUGUAAACUUGUAAUGCUGCUUCAGACUGUCCGUGGCGAGCUGUGAGGCUCCGAGCAUUGCUUGCUCGUUGUUCAGACAUGUAAUUACUGGUGUUAAGCAGCAGGGCAGUGCUCUGUUCCCCUCUUCUUAAACCCAUCGCCCACCAGAUUUCUUGCUCAGCAUCUCUCACAGUCUCACCACAACACACAUAGAAGCAAGCAAAAUAAAAUGUGAUCCACGGGACAUCCUCCAAAGCAUUGUAUAUCACACGAUACUCAACAGCGAGUUGCGCAGUGCUGUGAUUUCAUUUAUAAACUGGAAGUAGCCUACACACGUCUCCCAUACUAGACCUGACGAUCAUCCUCUCGGCCGGGCAGGUUUCGGGCCGGCUUGACAAAGCCCAAACUCUAAAUCUCAAGUCCAGCCCGAAACACAUGAACAAUAGAAUUUCACAAUUAAAAUAAUUAUUUUUGGGGAAAUUAAAAUAAUAUGUUAUAGCUAGUUUUUGAAUAAAGAUAUAUAUUUGUGGUCAUUUCGGGUUUAUUUUUUCACGAAUACGCAAAGCUUGCGCAUUGAUAGAAGAAGUUACGCAAGAGGCGUGAACAUGGUGCGUGAAGCAAAUAGACAUGAGAUACUUCACCCAAACAUCGAAAAACACGGCUAAACUCGCUGACUAGAGAAACGGUCCAAAUAAUAAAUGGACGACCAACAUCCUCAAAAAUGGACGUCGCAAGCAAACAAGACAACUCCUUUACGAAGGAGAACAAUACCAAGAUGACGUCGUGGUUCUUUUCGGAAAACCAGACCUAGGGUUUCCCCUCAUGCUCCAAGAGGGGCACAUAUAACGGCCAUGGCGCCACCUCCAAGAAGGGGACGACACCCGGUUGUGUCAUCAUUGCCAGCAUAGGAUGCGGGGAUUUCAGCCUGGAGAAGUUUCGAGCAAUCCCAAGCCAUCAAAGCACAAUCGAAGAAGACGAAGUCGACCAUUGGCCGGAAUUACAAUCAUAGGAAAUGGGAGUCGCACCUAACAUGGAAGGAGACACUGGGCGUCGCCAGACAUGCGAGCUCCAGAGGAAGGCAACAAAGUUGCGUGACUGAAUGGAAUGAAAGGCAGCGAGGAUGCGGCGAUGGCCGGAGCCCUGGAUGAGACAUGAUUUGGAAGGGAGUGCAGAUCCAAGCCACCGUUACUGGAGCCGUAGGGGCGCCGGUGGAGCCAAGUAGUUGGAAGGGGACGCGGCUCCCGGAGCAUGCCAGAACCAAGGACGCGCUAGAAGGGAGAACCUACCAAGUGCACCAUCAGGGUCGUGGUGGUGCCGAGAUGGCAAGAAGCGAGCGAGCUAUUUUUUUGAAAAGGAGGAUGUACCCCGGCCUUUGCAUCUGGAUGAUGCAUGCGAUCACUUUAUUAAUUAUCCAUAAAGAAUUUACAAAGUAAUACAUCAAUAAGCCUGGAACUACCAUCUUGAUAACAACCGUCGCUACUCCUAUACCCUUGAUGUAGGGGCAUCGAAUGUCCGAACCUAAUAUCAAACAAACAUCGCAUCAAAGCCUAACAUCUAAUGCCGGAUGCCCCAUCUCAGCCACAUACCGGGACUGGCUCACACACCGGUCCGGCACAAUCACCGAGGCCUCCACCGCCGUCUUCCAUCGAUCCAUCUCCAAAGCAAGGAUUGGCGCACAAACUUUGCCAGCCCGGCGUCAACCCCACCAUGGUGCCAUCCAGCCGCAUCCGUCGACGAUAUCGAGUUGCACCAUGCCGCCAAUACUCGUUAUCAUCGACGCGAUAGAUACAUAUCUCCGCACCAACUAGAAGCCAUCGAGCUAUAGGAGUCGGAAAGAGCACAUCUCUCGGGAUGUGCGGGAUGAGAAGUCGUACUGGACGGGCAUGGACGCAGGAGGGGCACAGGUCCAUGGCUGCCAGGGCGAAGUCGCCCCUAUGUGGGGAUGGGUGGAGGGGAGGCAGCCAAACCUCCCGAUCGGUGUGCUGCUGGGCACAACCAGAUGCCUCCAUGGACGCCUCCCGAAGAGGCCUACCCGAGGCCAAACAUGGGGAUAAGGAUGGUGGCGUUUAGGGGCACAGUAAGGAGGGCGCCCCCGCGGCCAUGAUAGGCCGGCCGAAGAGCACCAUACCGGACCCUGGUGAGCCCACAUAUCCCAUCUAGAAUGGACCGGUACCGACACACGAGAGCCGCAGUCGAGGAAGGCUACCAUCAACGAGCCGGGGAAGAGACACCAAAAAGAAAGUGAUUCUCUUGUGCAUUGGUAAUAAACAUUUAUCAAAAAUAAAAAAAUGCGAUGUCCUCGUGCAUGCUUAUUUCAAGAAUCACUGAAUUCCAACGAUGUGCGUUCAGUGGGAGGAGACGUUCUCGUCGAUUACGAAGGUGUCUGUGACGACGUCUUCAAUCUAAAGAUGAUGUGCCGGCUUAGUCUCUCGAAGAUGCUCAUAAGAGUAAGGUGUACGUGCGUGGGUUCAUAGGAUGAGUGUAUGCUCGUGUAUGUGAACGACUUCGGUUAUACUUUACUAAAAAAACACUGAAAUACCAGUGAAACUGAAUACAAGUAUGGGACAAAAUUAGUAACAUUUUUAAACUAUUCUCUCUGUAAAUAAAUAAAUAAAUGUAUAUGCCGUUUUAGGUCACACAUUUCAGUUGCAAAGGAGGACCAUGAGCGCGGGCCCAUAAGUCAUAGGACAGACAGGACGCCGCGAGCAGUCCUCAUCUUGGUUCCCAAAAUCCAGCCGGAGGCGCGGCGACGGCGUGCCCCAAUCGGGACGGACGGCGGCGGAGGCUUUACGAUGGGUCGCGGUCUCGGCCGCCGGUGGUUCGCUCCCCGGCCGGUCGUCCCACUCCUGGCUUUCCCCCAUCCGCACUAACACCGAGUCAAUCCAAGUCAGUCUCUUCCCAGUUCUUACCAAGAAAGAAGAACGUACUAGUAGCUUAUUUUAAUCUCGCCGGCGAAAUUUACCACCUGCCUUAAUUUCGCUGAAGACUCGAUUACUGUACUGGGCCUACUAGCUAGUUGAAAGCUACGACAGUGAUGCCCAAUAGCGAAAAAAUUAAAAGUUUCAAGAUUUCAUUAACUAAUAUCUAAACACGACUAUGCAACUGAAGACUGUGUACGUACGUUGGCCGCGUCAGCUAGCUUGAUGAUGGUCUCUAAUCUCCAUUAAUGGCUCAACAAGCCACCAAAAGCUAAGGUUCCAUCGUUUUCAGCUGGAUAUACAAGCCAUCGAUCAACUCUUGGUAUUUAAUUCCUCAUUCCUAGCUAAUGCUAACCAACCUCACAUUGCCGUCCCACCGUAGUGAAUUCGAUGGCUGUCACACUCAAAUCUACACCUACUCUUUCUUUAGAACGAAGCGUCAAGGAGAAAUGGCCGGCCUUUUGGAUAUUAUACUUCAUUCAGCAGGCAAAACGAAUCACUGUGUCUCUCUCAGCACCUAAGAUAUUCACAAAGGUGGGUACUAAUCGGCUAGCUCAGGUCGCUCACUCGGUGGUUCAGGCCACGCAGACGGCGUUCAUGCCUGGACGGAACAUCCUGUAAGGGGUAGUUGUUCUGCAUGAAACAUUACAUGAAAUUCACUCGAAGAAACUAGAUGGGUUGAUUUUGAAAAGGCAUAUGAUAAAGUAAAAUGGUCUUUCUUGCAACAAACUCUACGUAUGAAGGGGUUUGACCAGUUAUGGCGGAAGCAUGUCGACUGUUUUAUUAAAAAAGGCAGUGUCGGUAUCAAGUGAAUGAUGACGUUGGUCAUUUUUUCCAGACACUUAAGGGUCUACGACAAGGGGAUCCUAUGUUGCCGAUUCUUUUCAACAUUGUUGCCGACAUGUUGGCCUUGAUGAUUAGGAGGGCUAGUGACAACGAUCUAGUAGGAGGACUUGUACCGCAUCUCGUGAAUGGGGGUGUCUCAAUCUUACAAUAUGCCGAUGAUACCAUUAUCUUUAUGCAGCAUGAUUUAGAGAAGGCCCGGAAUAUGAAACUCAUCUUAUGCUUGUUUGAACAAUUGUCUGGGUUAAAGAUUAACUUUAGCAAAAGUGAAAUAUUUUGUUUUGGACGGGCAAAGGCGGAACAACAUACUUACAACCAACUGUUUGGGUGUGAGUGUGGGACAUUUCCGUUUACUUAUUUGGGUGUGCCUAUCCAUCACCGGAAACUUGCAAACAAGGAGUGGAAAUGUAUCGAAGACCGAUUUGAAAAGAAGCUAAGUUGCUGGAAAGGCAAGCUUUUAUCUUAUAGAGGACGUUUAGUACUUGUUAAUUCAGUAUUAACUAGUAUGCCGAUGUUCCUCUUAUCCUUCUUCGAGCUACCUAAAGGGGUAAGGAAGAGGUUAGAUUUCUAUCGGUCACGUUUCUUUUGGCAAAGUGAUGAAGUGAAAACAAAGUAUAGGCUUACUAAAUGGGACAUCAUUUGCAGACCCAGAGAUCAAGGGGGUUUAGGGGUGGAGAAUUUAGAGGUUAAAAACAUAUGCUUGCUAAGUAAAUGGCUGUUUAGAACUUCGGUAGAAACCGAAGGCAUGUGGGUGCAAAUUCUAAGGAAUAAGUACUUGCAACAUAAGACCUUAGCUCAGGUGACCGUUAAACCGAAUGAUUCUCCAUUCUGGAAAGGAAUGAUGAGGUGUAAGAACGUGUUUUUUAACCAGACUAGGUUUGUCAUUGCUAAUGGUGAAUCAACUAGAUUCUGGGAGGAUACAUGGUUAGGGGAUGUGCCCCUAGCACUGGAAUAUCUGCAGCUAUACAAUAUUGUCCAACGCAGACAAGCGUCGGUUGCGGCAGUCUUGAGCCACACGCCUCUAAAUAUCCGGUUCCGUCGAUCUUUGAUUGGGGAAAGAUGGACCAGAUGGCUACACUUAGUUAGAAGGUUAAUGCAAAUCCAACUGUCGGAUAGGCCCGACACUAUUCAUUGGAAGCUAACUAAGGAUGGAUCCUUUUUGGUAAAAUCUAUGUACCUUCAUCUUAUUGAUUCGGGGUACAUUCCAAGAUCCAAGCAUGUCUGGGAGGUCAAAGUUUCGUUGAGGAUAAAGAUCUUUAUGUGGUUCGUUCACAAAGGUGCUAUCCUAACGAAAGACAACUUGGCAAAACGUAAAUGGAAAGGCAACCAGUGAUGCAACUUUUGUGACAAUAAGGAAACUAUCAAGCACCUCUUUUUCCAAUGUCCGAUGGCUAAAAUCCUAUGGCGUUCUAUACACAUUGCUUUUAAUAUCACCCCCCCCCUAGUGUCAACACGUUGUUUGGGACGUGGGUAGAGGGAGUUGGUGGUCAUUUGGCAAAGAGUAUCCGUGUUGGAGCUUGUGCAUUACUGUGGGCAAUUUGGAACUGCAGGAAUGAUUUAAUGUUUAACAGAUGCACAUCUAUCAAUUUUUUGCAGGUUAUAUACAGGGCUACCGCACAGACCCGCACGUGGUCAUUACUCACUCCUGCGGAUUCCAGUGAGCUUAUGGUUACUGAGUGUGUCCGCUGGGAGAUGGUAGCACAGGGUAUCUUCAACCGGUUUGGAUGGCGGCAAGCUAAUAGGAUAGGUGGCUAGUCAUCUACUUAUUAUACCAUCGCUGCUUGGGCGCUUUGGACGCUUUGUAUCGCUUCGUUUUUGUUCUUUAGUCUCAACAUUGAUGUACUCGUUCCGGAUUUGGUUUCUUUUUUAUUAAUAAAAGGCUGCAUGCAUCUCUCGAUGCAGACGCCGGGG